rnacentral:rRNA from 1 species
UGGGGAAUAUUGCACAAUGGGGGAAACCCUGAUGCAGCGACGCCGCGUGGAGGAAGAAGGUCUUCGGAUUGUAAACUCCUGUUGUUGGGGAAGAUAAUGACGGUACCCAACAAGGAAGUGACGGCUAACUACGUGCCAGCAGCCGCGGUAAAACGUAGGUCACAAGCGUUGUCCGGAAUUACUGGGUGUAAAGGGAGCGCAGGCGGGAAGACAAGUUGGAAGUGAAAUCCAUGGGCUCAACCCAUGAACUGCUUUCAAAACUGUUUUUCUUGAGUAGUGCAGAGGUAGGCGGAAUUCCCGGUGUAGCGGUGGAAUGCGUAGAUAUCGGGAGGAACACCAGUGGCGAAGGCGGCCUACUGGGCACCAACUGACGCUGAAGCUCGAAAGUGUGGGUAGCAAACAGGAUUAGAUACCCUGGUAGUCCACACCGUAAACGAUGAUUACUAGGUGUUGGAGGAUUGACCCCUUCAGUGCCGCAGUUAACACAAUAAGUAAUCCACCUGGGGAGUACGACCGCAAGGUUGAAACUCAAAGGAAUUGACGGGGGCCCGCACAAGCAGUGGAGUAUGUGGUUUAAUUCGACGCAACGCGAAGAACCUUACCAAGUCUUGACAUCCGUUGACCGCUGUAGAAAUACAGUUUUCCUUCGGGACAGCGAGACAGGUGGUGCAUGGUUGUCGUCAGCUCGUGUCGUGAGAUGUUGGGUUAAGUCCCGCAACGAGCGCAACCCUUAUGGUCAGUUACUACGCAAGAGGACUCUGGCCAGACUGCCGUUGACAAAACGGAGGAAGGUGGGGAUGACGUCAAAUCAUCAUGCCCUUUAUGACUUGGGCUACACACGUACUACAAUGGCGUUAAACAAAGAGAAGCAAGACCGCGAGGUGGAGCAAAACUCAGAAACAACGUCCCAGUUCGGACUGCAGGCUGCAACUCGCCUGCACGAAGUCGGAAUUGCUAGUAAUCGUGGAUCAGCAUGCCACGGUGAAUACGUUCCC